rnacentral:tRNA from 1 species
ACUCCAGUAGCUUAAUCCGUAAAGCAUUGGUCUUGUAAACCAAAGACUGAAGACUACAAUCUUCCUAGAGUG